AGCCUUGCGCAGUGGUAGUAUCAUAGCCAAAGAGGUCAAACCGAGGCAUGAUUAUUGCUAAUUGUGAUAAAGCUGAAGCUUGAUGAAAGCGGAGGGGCUGUGUUCACAUUAGAGCUGCUGACUUAUUUUAUGUCGGGGGCUUCGCACAUGCUC
ensembl:snRNA U4 U4 spliceosomal RNA